CCUACGGGAGGCAGCAGUUAGGAAUAUUGGUCAAUGGGCUUACGCCUGAACCAGCCAAGUCGCGUGAGGGCAGACUGCCCUAUGGGUUGUAAACCUCUUUUGUCAGGGAGCAACGCCGGCUACGUGUAGCCGGACUGAGAGUACCUGAAGAAAACGCAUCGGCUAACUCGGUGCCCGCAGCCGCGGUAAUACGGAGGAUGCGAGCGUUAGCCGGAUUGAUUGGGUUUAAAGGGUGCGUAGGCGGAAUGCCAAGUCAGCGGUAAAAUCGCGGGGCUCAACCUCGCUCCGCCGUUGAAACUGGCGUUCUUGAGUGGGCGAGAAGUAUGCGGAAUGCGUGGUGUAGCGGUGAAAUGCAUAGAUAUCACGCAGAACUCCGAGUGCGAAGGCAGCAUACCGGCGCCCAACUGACGCUGAAGCACGAAAGCGUGGGUAUCGAACAGGAUUAGAUACCCCGGUAGUC
rnacentral:rRNA from 1 species